rnacentral:rRNA from 1 species
GACGGAGGGUGCUAGCGUUGUUCGGAAUUACUGGGCGUAAAGGGCGCGUAGGUGGCCUGUUAAGUCGAACGUGGAAUCCCCGGGCUCAACCCGGGAACUGCGUCCGAGACUGGCAGGCUCGAAUCCGGGAGAGGGAUGUGGAAUUCCAGGUGUAGCGGUGAAAUGCGUAGAUAUCUGGAGGAACACCGGUGGCGAAGGCGGCAUCCUGGACCCGGUAUUGACGCUGAGGCGCGAAAGC